rnacentral:tRNA from 1 species
UAAACAGAAGUAGAAUAAAAAUACAUUUGAUUUCGAAUCAAAAAAAGGGUAACCCUGUUUAU